CGGAUCUGGGCCUUCAGGUCGAGCAAGUGAUUCGGGAGAUCAGGAGAUCCGUGGCUGAAAGGUCUCCCUUUGCUCAGGGGAAUGCUAAUGUUGCUGCCGAGUCUUCAGGAGGGGAGGCCAGGAACAGGGCUGCAGCAGAGGGAGCUUUGCCUGGCACCGAGAGCUGCGGGAAGAGUUCCCCAGAGCCCGAGGAGCCUGAUUCCAUCUGAUUGACCUCUCCAGGAGGGCUGUCCUGAGUGGGAGGAAGAGACAGAGGGAGAGCCUGUGAGAAGAUCAGGCAGGUGCAAUC